rnacentral:lncRNA from 10 species
CUCAAACUCCUGACCUCAGGUGAUCCGCCCGCCUUGGCCAACCAAAGUGCUGGGAUUACAGGCGUGAGCCACAGUGCCCGGCCCAGAAUGUUCUAUUUACAUUUUAUUCAUGGAGUUGUAGCAUAAUUGCAGAGAAUACUCACCGUAUGAUUUCAAUCUUUUCAAAUUUUUCAAUACUGACUUUACGGUAAAUCUUUUGUGAAUGUGUCACAUGUCCUUGAGAAAAAUUAUGUCCUUUUCCGUGUUGGUGCUGGGUUCCUUAGAGGACUUGUGGGCUGUGUAUUCGUUGUGAUGUUCUGCUCUCCUGCAUACGAAUUGACUUUGCCGUGCAGACAGUGGCUUUCCCAGGCCCCGGCAGGUGCACUCUGCAUCCAGCACCGCAUUUACGCCAAAGCCAUGGGCUGCUUCCAGAGACUGGGGUGCUAUGCGGGCUUGCUCCUGGGAGACCCGACACCCCUCUGAUGAAAGACGUUGGCGUAGGGAUCCCCGGAGGCCUCAUCCAAUGUUUCUUUGAUAGCAUGGCGGUCUCCCAUGCUGCUUCCCCUCGCCCUUCAUUCAGGGUCACACUUGCAGCAGGGACAUGGCUCCCCCAGCCCUUAUGGCUCCUCCCCAUUUCCUCCACGUAGACAUUUCCCUGCUGAAAUCCCCUGCAUUUGAUCCCAUCUUUGGGCCUGCUCCUUAGAAGGCCCCUGACGAAAGCAAGUAGUGCUGAGAGUGUUCUGAGAAGGCGGGUGCUGGGAUGAGCACUUGGGACGGGCCCACCUACUGGUCAGGAGGCACUGGAACCACCCCUCUGGCUGUUGGGUGGGGCAUGGACAGUCCUUGACACGAGGUGGAGCCCCCAUUGUUAAAAUCUUUGCUGGUGAUGAUUUGCAGGGAAGGUCUAGGUGGAGGAGAGGCCUGUGGCAGUACGAUGACGUAGGCAUUUGCAAAGCAAAAGGGGACAAUGCCAACAAGGUCAGCAGGGUUGGGUGGCACCGCUGAGCUGCACGGCAGCCCAGCCCAAGGAUAAUGAAACAUGGACGGCUGCCAAUGAAGAGUCCUGGACUAAGCACAGAGCCAGGGGGCUUGGUGCCAGCUCACAAAGAAGCCCCUGCCCCCCUCCAUGGAAGGCAGACCCAGCUGAGUGGCAGACUGAUGACCUGAUUGUGACAGUCCCAGAGUCACAGAGAGGUUGGACUGCUCAGCCAAGGAAGACCAGGGACGUGAAGUCAGGCCCUGAAAACAGAGACAGAAACAUGCGGAUAUGUGUCCCCAAAGAUGUGGACUCUGCAACCCACCUGGACUCUCAGAACUUAGCGGGAGGUCGGCCCUUCCCAGGCAGAGCUAACACUGCUGUCACGUUUGAGCGAGCUGCUGAAACCUUUCUCACACAGGACAACAGGUGCCCUUUGAAAGCUGCCCCUCAUCUUUUCACCUGACUUCCAGAAUGCCGUACGUUCUGGGAUCAUACAACAGGGAAUCUUCCAAGCCUGGCUUCUUUCACGUAGGCUGAUGCCUUGAGAUUCGUUCGUGUUGUGUGCCUCUAUGGUUUGCCCCUUGCUUUGCGAGGUAGGACUCCCAAUUACAGAUGUGCCACAGUUUAUCCACUUUUAUCCACACUUUAUCCCAAGUUGAGGGGCAGUUUGGGC